rnacentral:rRNA from 1 species
ACUCCUACGGGAGGCAGCAGUGGGGAAUAUUGCACAAUGGGCGAAAGCCUGAUGCAGCGACGCCGCGUGAGGGAUGACGGCCUUCGGGUUGUAAACCUCUUUCAGCAGGGAAGAAGCGAUCGGGUUCUCCCGGACGUGACGGUACCUGCAGAAGAAGCGCCGGCUAACUACGUGCCAGCAGCCGCGGUAAU